AACUCACGCACACCCCCUCCCUUCUCUUCCCCAUUCUCGGCCUCCCCUCUCUCUCUCUAUAUUCUCUUUUCCUCCAUUGAUGUCCAUUGAAGAAAGCUUAGAGAAGCUUCAUCAAACACUACUAUGAGAUAAUCCACCAUCCAAUCCAAUCAAACACUAUCAUAUCUCAUCAAAUUCAAGAAGCUAGAACUAAGAUCAAAGUUGGAGCAAAGUCUUGAUCACCUUUUAAAUCCUUGAACACGAGAAGAGCAAGGAAGUAAGUAACUCCACUUUGACGGGAGAUUUUGAGUAAGGUCUUCAGGAUAAGCGGAGGGGGAGUAUGGUGCGGUGCUGGUGGAGAAUGUUUCGGGUUGACGUUUUCUUUCUCUAUCGUAUGUCUGUUUUGUCGAUAGAGUUUUGAUAUGAAGUUAUGUUAAAUAGAGUUUGAUGUUUAAGAUACUUAAUUUCCUUUGAAAAUCAAGCAAUACACUCACGGUUAUAUGUCUUCAUACAUAUAAUCGAUUCGCCUUUUGCUGCGAUACUCUGCAUAUUAUUCUUCAUUAUGAAAAAUGAGCUAUACCCGUUUUGUUUUUGUUCGUGAAAUUCCUGAUAAUCAAAAAGAUAUAACGAUGUUGACGAUUUUA